rnacentral:rRNA from 1 species
AAGCAGGCUACUCGCUGAUACAUUAGCAUGGGAUAUAGAAUAGGACUUUGCAUCUAUUUGUGGUUUCUAGGAACAAAGUAAUGAUUAACAGGGACAGUUGGGGGCAUUCAUAUUUAAUUGUCAGAGGUGAACUUCUAGGAUUUCUUAAAGAUGAACUGCUGCGAAAGCGUUUGCCAAGGAUGUUUUCAUUAAUCAAGAACGAAAGUUAGGGGAUCGAAGACGAUCAGAUACCGUCGUAGUCUUAACCAUAAACUAUGCCGACCAGGGAUUGGAAGACGUUAAAUAUAUACGACUCCUCCAGCACCUUGUGAGAAAUCAUAAGUUUUUGGGUUCCGGGGGGAGUAUGGUCGCAAGGCUGAAACUUAAAGGAAUUGACGGAAGGGCACCACCAGGUGUGGAGCCUGCGGCUUAAUUUGACUCAACACGGGGAAACUUACCAGGUCCAGACACAGUUAGGAUUGACAGAUUGAGAGCUCUUUCUUGAUUCUGUGGGUGGUGGUGCAUGGCCGUUCUUAGUUGGUGGAGUGAUUUGUCUGCUUAAUUGCGAUAACGAACGAGACCUCAACCUGCUAAAUAGUUACGCCAGCCUUGUCCGCGCGACGCGCCUCCGGGUGCCCGUUCGGUGCUGUGCGGAAAUACUUCUUAGAGGGACUAUGUGUGUUGAGCACAUGGAAGUUUGAGGCAAUAACAGGUCUGUGAUGCCCUUAGAUGUUCUGGGCUGCACGCGCGCUACACUGAUUCAAUCAACGAGUUUUAUCCUGCACCGAUGGGUGUGGGUAAUCUUUUCAAAUUGAAUCGUGCUGGGGAUUGAUGCUUGCAAUUUUUCAUCAUGAACAAGGAAUACCUAGUAAACGCAAGUCAUCAGCUUGCGUUGAUUACGUCCCUGCCCUUUGUACACACCGCCCGUCGCUCCUACCGAUUGAAUGUUCCGGUGAAAUGAUAGGAUUCCUGCGUACGUGCCAGCAAUGGCAUAACGCGGGGAGAAUUCCUAAACCUAAGC